CACACACAUACAUGUGUGUGUGUGUGUGUAUGUGUGUGUGUGUGUGUAUAUAUAUAUACACACACACACACACACACACACACACACACAUACAUAUU
rnacentral:miRNA from 1 species